rnacentral:tRNA from 1 species
CACUAAGAAGCUUCUAACAGCAUUAGCCUUUUAAGCUAAAGAGGGGGGCCAGCCGCCACCCUUAGUGA